GACGAACGCUGGCGGCGUGCUUAACACAUGCAAGUCGAACGGAAAGGCCCUGCUUUUGUGGGGUGCUCGAGUGGCGAACGGGUGAGUAACACGUGAGUAACCUGCCCUUGACUUUGGGAUAACUUCAGGAAACUGGGGCUAAUACCGGAUAGGAGCUCCUGCUGCAUGGUGGGGGUUGGAAAGUUUCGGCGGUUGGGGAUGGACUCGCGGCUUAUCAGCUUGUUGGUGGGGUAGUGGCUUACCAAGGCUUUGACGGGUAGCCGGCCUGAGAGGGUGACCGGCCACAUUGGGACUGAGAUACGGCCCAGACUCCUACGGGAGGCAGCAGUGGGGAAUAUUGCACAAUGGGCGGAAGCCUGAUGCAGCAACGCCGCGUGCGGGAUGACGGCCUUCGGGUUGUAAACCGCUUUCGCCUGUGACGAAGCGUGAGUGACGGUAAUGGGUAAAGAAGCACCGGCUAACUACGUGCCAGCAGCCGCGGUGAUACGUAGGGUGCGAGCGUUGUCCGGAUUUAUUGGGCGUAAAGGGCUCGUAGGUGGUUGAUCGCGUCGGAAGUGUAAUCUUGGGGCUUAACCCUGAGCGUGCUUUCGAUACGGGUUGACUUGAGGAAGGUAGGGGAGAAUGAAAUUCCUGGUGGAGCGGUGGAAUGCGCAGAUAUCAGGAGGAACACCAGUGGCGAAGGCGGUUCUCUGGGCCUUUCCUGACGCUGAGGAGCGAAAGCGUGGGGAGCGAACAGGCUUAGAUACCCUGGUAGUCCACGCUGUAAACGGUGGGUACUAGGUGUGGGGUCCAUUCCACGGGUUCCGUGCCGUAGCUAACGCUUUAAGUACCCCGCCUGGGGAGUACGGCCGCAAGGCUAAAACUCAAAGGAAUUGACGGGGCCCCGCACAAGCGGCGGAGCAUGCGGAUUAAUUCGAUGCAACGCGUAGAACCUUACCUGGGUUUGACAUGGAUCGGGAGUGCUCAGAGAUGGGUGUGCCUCUUUUGGGGUCGGUUCACAGGUGGUGCAUGGCUGUCGUCAGCUCGUGUCGUGAGAUGUUGGGUUAAGUCCCGCAACGAGCGCAACCCUUGUUCACUGUUGCCAGCACGUUAUGGUGGGGACUCAGUGGAGACCGCCGGGGUCAACUCGGAGGAAGGUGGGGAUGACGUCAAGUCGUCAUGCCCCUUAUGUCCAGGGCUUCACGCAUGCUACAAUGGCUGGUACAGGGAGUGGCGAGCCUGUGAGGGUGAGCGAAUCUCGGAAAGCCGGUCUCAGUUCGGAUUGGGGUCUGCAACUCGACCUCAUGAAGUCGGAGUCGCUAGUAAUCGCAGAUCAGCAACGCUGCGGUGAAUACGUUCCCGGGGCU
rnacentral:rRNA from 1 species